AACGAACGCUGGCGGCAUGCCUAACACAUGCAAGUCGAACGAGACCUUCGGGUCUUUUCGCCCCCGGGUUCGUAACGCGAGGGAACCUUCCCUUAUGUUCGGAAUAACUCCCCGAAAGGGGUGCUUAUACCGGAUAAUGUCUUCGGACCAAUGAUUUAUCGCCUUUGGAUGUGACCGCGUUGGAUUAGCUCUUGCGUAGGGUAAAAGCCUACCAAGGCGACGAUCCAUAGCUGGUCUGAGAGGAGGAUCAGCGACACUGGGAGGGAGAAGCGGCCGAGACUCCUACGGGAGGAGGCAGAGGGGAAUAUUGGACAAUGGGCGGAAGCAUGAUGCAGCUAGGACGGGUGAGUGAUGAAGGCAUUAGGGUAGUAAAGUGAUUGUACCCGGGAUGAUAAUGACAGUACCGGGAGAAUAAGCUCCGGCUAACUCCGUG
rnacentral:rRNA from 1 species